AGUGUAUGUAGUAAGAUGCUCUCUUGACGUCACAAAAGCGGGGCGGGGGGAACCGAGGGAAGAAGUCUGGUUUCCUUAGUUAAGGUGCGAGCAGGUGGAAAGUGGAGCGCAGCGUUUUCAGCAAAACGGCAGAAGACUGGUUGUAGCAAAGGUUUUCACGGGUUGGGGUCUGUUCCAGAGGUUUUAACUGCACAGUUAAGUGACAUGAAUGGGAGUACUGAUCAAAGCAUCUGACAGUGAAGCCACCCAUGUUGAAUGGCAGCAUGUCAUGCGUAGGAAGGAGUUUGAUGUUCAUAUAUGUGAGACAAGUAAUAGAUUCUUGCAACUAAUUGACUUAUGGUGAAGGACCUAUUAUAAGCAACAGUACUGUGAGAGAAUAACCAUCAUACAUUACAACUAUAUCUGUUUUGUAUGCAGAGUUACAAAUUCAAGCUUUGAUAUCUUCUAGCAAAAAAAAAAAAUCAGUGGCAGAUGACGGGAGGGAUCCCACCUGAAAUCCAGAUGAUGCCUUGGAGCGCCUGCAAAUCAGAGUAGACAAUAUUAGACUAAAUGAAUUAACCAUUUCAUUUGGAAUAAAGUGUCAUUACUUAUCUAGA